rnacentral:rRNA from 1 species
AUGAACGUUGGCGGCGUGUCUUAGGCAUGCAAGUCGUGGGAAGCAGUGUAGCAAUACAUUGACUGACCGGCAGACGGGUGAGUACGACAGUGGUAACCUACCUCAUAGUCUUGAAUAACCCGACGAAAGUUGGACUAAUACAAGAUAGGCAAGGGGGGACGAAAGUCAUUCCCUUGUAAAGCUUCGGCGCUAUGAGAGGGGCCUUUGGUUUAUCAGCUAGUUGGUGAGGUAAUGGCUCACCAAGGCUAUGACGAAUAGCGGGCGUGAGAGCGUGACCCGCCUCAGUGGCACUGAAAUACUGGCCACACUCCUACGGGAGGCUGCAGUCGAGAAUUUUCCUCAAUGGACGAAAGUCUGAAGGAGCGACGCCGCGUGCAGGACGAAGGCCUUCGGGUUGUAAACUGCUUUUUUCUGGGAAAAACGUUGAUGGUACCAGAAGAAUAAGAGGUUGCUAACUCUGU